rnacentral:rRNA from 1 species
AAGCAGGGGAUCGCAAGACCUUGCGCUUUUGGAGUGGCCGAUGCCUGAUUAGCUAGUUGGUGGGGUAAGGGCCUACCAAGGCAACGAUCAGUAGUUGGUCUGAGAGGACGACCAGCCACACUGGGACUGAGACACGGCCCAGACUCCUACGGGAGGCAGCAGUGGGGAAUUUUGGACAAUGGGCGAAAGCCUGAUCCAGCAAUGCCGCGUGAGUGAAGAAGGCCUUCGGGUUGUAAAGCUCUUUCAGUCGGGAAGAAAAGGUUGCGACUAAUAAUCGCGAUUCAUGACGGUACCGACAGAAGAAGCACCGGCUAACUACGUGCCAGCAGCCGCGGUAAUACGUAGGGUGCGAGCGUUAAUCGGAAUUACUGGGCGUAAAGGGUGCGCAGGCGGCUUUGUAAGUCAGAUGUGAAAUCCCCGGGCUUAACCUGGGAAUUGCGUUUGAAACUACAAGACUAGAGU